rnacentral:lncRNA from 1 species
UCGAAAUAUUUUAACUAAUUUAAUAUUUAAUAAGGAUGACUAUGAUAUUUUAAUAUUUAAUAAUAUUUUUAAUUGAUUUAAUAUUUUUUUAGAGAAAUAAUAAUUUAAUUGUUAUUUAAUUAAAUAAAAUUUUGGAAGAACAUUUUGUGCCUAAAGCGCAUUUCAUUGCAUAUGUUGCCCAUUUCAUUGCAUAUGUUUAUUUCUCAAAAGUCCACUUCCAUUUCAACCCACUUAUGCAAUACCAUUUGAUCAAACUUUUUACCAUAAUAUUAGGAAAAAACAAUGUGGGACUCGGACACAAAGGAGUUCAUUCUUCAAAUCUGGUCAUACUUGCAAUACUUAACAUAUUUGAUAAGCGAACAAAAUUGUUACCGCUUAGAAUCAGACUCUCCAAUGAUAAUAAGCAAUCAACAUCAUGGGGAACAAAAUUGUUACCAUUGCGUUACGUAGGCUUAGCCUCUUUCUCUAUCUACAUUUAUAUCUGAUAAUCUCACUAGUGGACAGCGAACAAAAAGAUGCCACACUAAGAAAGUAAUCCAAUCAGGAACAAGGUAGUUAAGGACAUGCGGACUAACUGCUCUGACAUUCCUAUUUUUUGAAAUGAAUCUUCGGACCUUCUGCCAGCGUUAACACCAUCCGAGCUUGCACUGUCGCUCGAAGAGAGAUGCCUGUGAGACCCCCUCCAGUACUGUAAUUCGAAGGAGGUUCUGAGAAUGAAAUUCAAACCCCUCGUCACUUACUAGUGAGCCGGAAAGCUUAGUGACGCCUCUCGUUCCUCUUCUCCCAUUUGACAACCGUAUCUCAGAAUGUUCGGAUGAUUCUCUGGAACUAAUAUAUGCUUUCUUUUUUUAAUGAAUGGGGAUAUAUCGUUGGGAAAAAGCAGAAGAAAAGGAUUUAACAGGUAGAAGAAGGGAAGUUCGGAAAAGCCUAGCAGACGGGACUAUCAACUCCUUUCUGUUACGAUCUCGGCACCAUCCUUACCCCCUUUAAAGCAAAUGCCUGUGAGAAGCCUUAGAAGUUACAGGACAUAGAAGCGGGCCUAAGAAAUUGGUCAAGAAGUGAAUUGAAUCUUUUCCAGUCUAGAGACUGGCAGUUUACCCUCGAAAGAAAGGAUUAAAAUCUUCCUUCUACUUUGAACAAGAUAAAUGGACAGACGAGUUGAAUAAUACAGGGACAGAUAAGCUAGACGAGGUUCCCCUUUGAUAUCUCCCAACCUAAAGGUUUAUGCAGAGGUGGGUCUUUCAACUACUCUUUCGAUGAAGGGUGCAUUACAAGACCAUCGGUACUAAAAAGAUAAAAUUGAGGGUUUUCGUUGAUAUUGAGUCGACUAUAAACUACUCAUCUUGCUUGGAACCAUCGUUAUGUAUGGGAAAAAGGGUUCUACCUAUGCUAGGAAAAGGGUGAAUGGUCCCAAAAGGGACGGGAUAAAACCCACUAGAAAGAAUGGGGGGUCAUCCACUCUGUCAUUGGGUAGUAAACUUUAUCUGUGACUUUGAGUACAAGAUUUCCGAGAUCAAGAAACUAGCAAACAAAUAUGCUCGGCUGGACUCUUUUCUCAUAUGCCCGGAAAAUAAAAUUGCGGUACAACUCAUCGUGCUGCAAAGCCUUUUGUUUCUCGUCCAAACACUCCAGAUCCGCACUUCCCUUUUCUCCAUAGGGCCAAAGCUUUACUAAGAAGGUUUUUUUAGAGGGAGCGUAAUGGGUGAUCUAUAUUGCUUGCCACAACUCUAUUCCUGACUCUAAAUCCAUAAAGGACUUUAAGAGAGGAUGAACAUUCCCGUUCUAUAGGUGGCACUGCCCCUGUUAGAGAAGGGUGAGUGACUACUGAUUCUCUACUAGCAUCGUUAAUUACCUUAGACCUACGCAGUAGGAACGAUAUAGAGGACCUACUCUACCGAUCAUCUGCUCUCUCGAGGUCGUCCUUCUCUAGGUACAAAAAGGACAUUACGGGAUAUUUAAUGAAGCUCAAUUGACAUUUAAGAUAAUUGGUAAAAAACUCUAGCCAAUUGAGCUUCGAUCUUCUCCACCUUCUCCGAUCUUCUCCACCUUCUCCAAUAAGAUCCUUAAAUGAUUGUCCCGACAGUUCCAAGUUCCAACUUCAAUUUUUACAAAUGUUAUUUAUUUUUUUAUGAAAUGAUAUUCUUCACACAAAUACUAUUUUUUAAGUUCAUAAAUUGAAUAAACUAAGAGUGAUUGAUUAUUCAAGUUAUCAAUGAAUAAGAUUUGAUUUUCAUUUUUU